rnacentral:lncRNA from 1 species
UUCCUCUCUCGUCUUCCUCCCCACGCCACGCCACGCCUCGCCACCGCGCGCACGCUGCCACCCCCUGUGCGGCGGCCAUCGCCGUCGCGCGCGAUCGCUCGAUCUCUUCCUCCCCCGCGCGACGCGACGCGACGUCUCGCCACCGCGCGUUCGUCGCUCCGACCAGAUCAUGGAGUCCUCGUACUACUCCAUCCGCGCGCGGCGGCCGUCGAUGGCUGCAAUUCGUACCUCCACGCCGACGAGAACGGGCGGUCCGUCUACCACGGCAACCUGCGCGGCGGGGGCGGCGCCUCGCUGCACAACGCGGUGUGGGCCGUAGAGGAGGUGGUCGCCGGGGGGCACCCCACGCGGUACGUGCUCCUCCGCGGCGCCUACGGCCGCUACCUCGGGUCCCCCGACUCCCCCAAGGCCCCGACCGCGAGCGCGACCGCUGCUGCUCGCUCGAGGCAGCACAGCGCGACCGCGACCGCGACCGCGACGUGCUGGAUCAGGUCGUCCGGGCGCUACCUGUGCGGCAACCAGACCUUCCUGGCUCGCCGCCCUGGCGUCUCCGUCGACGGCGACGUCGACAACGAAACGACGCUGAGGUGGGAGGUGGUGCGUGUCACCCCGAGUCAAGGCAGGCCUGAGCUCCCGAUCGCCACUGAGGUGAGAUCCUCCUACCCCUCAUCUCUCCUGAUCCCCUCCUCGGCUAAGGUUGUGAUUGGAACUAGCGCUAUCCGAGCCCAAAAGCCAAGCAUCACAAUCAGAGGUCUCUUCCUGCAAUUCUUGUGUUUGUGUUGUGUCCUUUAUGCAAUUAUACAACAGGAGGAUUCUUCUGGUUCUAGUUGAAGAAGUCUUGAUGAUGAUUGAUUGGGUCGGAGAUUAAUCUUUAACCAUGUAACAAUCUGUGAAUUUUUUUUUGUCAAAUUCACAGAGAUUGAAGAAAAAUUAGACAAUGACAAUGAGAGCAACGGAAGAGAGCAACUUGCAGACAGCUGCCAGUUAUUAGUAUCUAAUUAAUUGUUACAAAUUAGACAGAUAUAAGCUGUGGUGCUCUGAUUUACUUAUUCUGCCAUUCCAAUCUAAAUUGUACUUGUCCAAUUGAAAAUUUUG